GGGUGUCCUGAGGGGCUGGGAGGUCUGGAGGGGGGUCCCGGAGAGAGAUGAGCGGUUUGGGAGAGUCCCUGAGGGAGAUCUGGGGGAAUCUGAGGAGGUUGUUGGGAUCGCGGGCGGGAUUAGAGGAUCCUGAAGGCUUCUGAGGGGACAAGGGUCGGUCUGAGGAGGAUUUGCGGGGUCUAAGCGGGUUCUGAAGGGAAUUAGGGGGGGUCAGGAGAGAGUUUGGGGGGGUCUCUGAGGGGUUUGGGGACUCGUGAGGGGUUUGAACGUGGCUCGGUGGGAAUGAGGGGGUCCGGAAGGGCCCAAAAGAACCGGGGUGUCCCUGAGGGUCGGGGGGUGCUGAGCUCAGGAGUUUGUGACCCCAAAUCCCCCCAUUCCCUCCCAGACCCCCAAAGUUCCGGAGGUUCGGGAUGUCACCCGCAUCGAGCGGAUCGGUGAGACGCGACCCCCUCGCUUUGGGGGGGUCUCCCCUUUUUGGGGAACCCCCCCACCCCAUUUUGGGGAUUCAGUCCCGCUUUUGGGGAGGUUUGGAUGCUCUCCAGUUUGUCUGGGGAUAUCCUACAAUUGGGAAAAUGGGGGUUAGAAGGAGUCAGAAAUUUGGGGGAUUACUCCUAACUUUUGGGGGGGAGUUGAGGGGGUCCCCAAAAUGUGGGGGACCCUUUGUAACCCCCCCAAAUUCCUUUUCCCAGGCGCCCACUCCCACAUCCGCGGGCUGGGCCUGGACGAUGCCCUGGAGCCGCGACAGGUGUCCCAGGGCAUGGUGGGGCAGUUGUCCGCCCGCCGCGCCGCCGGCGUCAUCCUGGAGAUGAUCAAGGAGGGGAAAAUCGCCGGACGCGCCGUCCUGAUCGCCGGGCAGCCCGGGACGGGGAAAACGGCCAUUGCUAUGGGUUUGUGACCCCCAAAAACCCCCAAAUCCCAUCCAAAAAUGUCCCCAAAUCCCUGUCCUGAUCCCCAGGCAUCCCAGACAGGGAAAACUGUCAUUGCCGUGAGUGGGUGACCCCAAAAUCCUGCCUGAUUUUUCCCCCUAUUCCCCCAAAUCUCUCUCAAGCUCACCCCUGACUCCUCCAAUCCACCCUAAAUCCCCCCAAAUUCCUCCUCAAACUCACCCCUGACUCCUCCAAUCCACCCUAAAUCCCCCAAACUCACCCUAAAUUCUCCCCAAACUCACCCCUGACUCCUCCAACCUAUCCCAAAUCCCCCAAACGCAACCU
rnacentral:lncRNA from 1 species